rnacentral:rRNA from 1 species
GGAGUUUGGGCCGUGUCUCAGUCCCAAUGUGGCCGGUCAUCCUCUCAGAUCGGCUACUGAUCGUCGCUUUGGUAGGCCGUUACCCUGCCAACUGGCUAAUCAGACGCGGGCCCAUCCUGUACUGAUAAAUCUUUUCACACAAAACCACGCGGUUUCGUGCGCUUAUGCGGUAUUAGCAGCCGUUUCCAGCUGUUGUCCCCCGGUACAGGGCAGGUUGCCCACGCGUUACUCACCCGUCCGCCACUAAGUAUGAAACCGAAGUCUCAUACCCCGUUCGACUUGCAUGUGUUAAGCACGCCGCCAGCGUUAAUC